UCCUACGGGAGGCAGCAGUGAGGAAUAUUGGUCAAUGGCCGGAAGGCUGAACCAGCCAAGUAGCGUGCAGGAUGACUGCCUUAUGGGUUGUAAACUGCUUUUUUACGGGAAUAAUUAUGAUCACGUGUGAUUAUUUGCAUGUACCGUAAGAAUAAGGAUCGGCUAACUCCGUGCCAGCAGCCGCGGUAAUACGGAGGAUCCUAGUGUUAUCCGGAUUUAUUGGGUUUAAAGGGAGCGUAGGCGGGAGGUCAAGUCAGCUGUGAAAUGUAUCUGCUUAACGGGUACACUGCAGUUGAAACUGGUUUUCUUGAGUGCGUAAGAGGCAGGCGGAAUUCGUUGUGUAGCGGUGAAAUGCUUAGAUAUGACGAGGAACUCCUAUUGCGAAGGCAGCUUGCUGGGUCGUUACUGACGCUGAUGCUCGAAGGUGCGGGGAUCAAACAGGAUUAGAUACCCUGGUAGUCCGCACAGUAAACUAUGGAUACUCUCUGCCGGCGAUAUAUUGUCGGUGGCCAAGCGAAAGCGUUAAGUAUCCCACCUGGGGAGUACGUUCGCAAGAAUGAAACUCAAAGGAAUUGACGGGGGCCCGCACAAGCGGAGGAACAUGUGGUUUAAUUCGAUGAUACGCGAGGAACCUUACCCGGGUUUGAAUUGCUGAUGGCGAUAAUUGGAGACAUUUAUUUCCCUUCGGGGCGUCAGUGAAGGUGCUGCAUGGUUGUCGUCAGCUCGUGCCGUGAGGUGUCGGCUUAAGUGCCAUAACGAGCGCAACCCUUGCCGUUAGUUGCCAUCGGGUCAUGCCGGGCACUCUAUUGGGACUGCCAUCGUAAGAUGUGAGGAAGGUGGGGAUGACGUCAAAUCAGCACGGCCCUUAUGUCCGGGGCGACACACGUGUUACAAUGGGGGGUACAGUGGGAAGCUACCUGGUGACAGGUUGCGGAUCCCCAAAUCCUUUCUCAGUUCGGAUCGGAGUCUGUAACUCGACUCCGUGAAGUUGGAUUCGCUAGUAAUCGCGCAUCAGCCAUGGCGCGGUGAAUACGUUCCCGGGCCUUGUACACACCGCCCGUCAAGCCAUGAAAGCUGGGGGCGCCUGAAGUCCGUAACCGCGAGGAUCGGCCUAGGGUGAACCUGGUGAUUGGGGCUAAGUCGUAACAAGGUAACCA
rnacentral:rRNA from 1 species